rnacentral:rRNA from 1 species
UACGAAGGUGGCUAGCGUUGCUCGGAAUCACUGGGCGUAAAGGGUGCGUAGGCGGGGCUUUAAGUCAGGGGUGAAAUCCUGGAGCUCAACUCCAGAACUGCCUUUGAUACUGAAGAUCUUGAGUUCGGGAGAGGUGAGUGGAACUGCGAGUGUAGAGGUGAAAUUCGUAGAUAUUCGCAAGAACACCAGUGGCGAAGGCGGCUCACUGGCCCGAUACUGACGCUGAGGCACGAAAGCGUGGGGAGCAAACAGG